rnacentral:rRNA from 3 species
GGACUACUGGGGUAUCUAAUCCCGUUCGCUCCCCUGGCUUUCGUUCCUCAGCGUCAGAAAAUCCCCAGUGAGCCGCCUUCGCCUCCGGUGUUCCUGAUGAUAUCAACGCAUUUCACCGCUCCACCAUCAGUUCCGCUCACCUCUAGAUUCCUCUAGCACGACAGUUUAGAGCGCAAUUCCUCGGUUAAGCCGAGGGCUUUCACACCCUACUUUUCAUGCCGCCUACGAACUCUUUAAGCCCAGUAAUUCCGAAUAACGUUUGGGCCUCUCGUAUUACCGCGGCUGCUGGCAC